rnacentral:rRNA from 1 species
AUUGAACGCUGGCGGCGUGGAUAAGGCAUGCAAGUCGAACGAGAAAGCUCCCUUCGGGGAGUGAGUAGAGUGUCGUAAGGGUGCGUAACACGUAUGCAAUCUGCCCUCAACAGGAGGAUAGCUCCCCGAAAGGGGAAUUAACACUCCAUAAGAUUGCGGUCCGGCAUCGGGCAGCAAUUAAAACUACGGUGGUUGAGGAUGAGCAUGCGCAUGAUUAGUUAGUUGGCGGGGUAACGGCCCACCAAGACGAUGAUCAUUAGGGGAACUGAGAGGUUGAUCCCCCACACUGGCACUGAGAUACGGGCCAGACUCCUACGGGAGGCAGCAGUAGGGAAUAUUGGACAAUGGGUGCGAGCCUGAUCCAGCCAUGCCGCGUGCAGGAAGACGGCCUUCUGGGUUGUAAACUGCUUUUGCCAGGGGAUAAAACGGUUCUGCGGAGCUAAUUGAAGGUACCUGGUGAAUAAGCCACGGCUAACUACGUGCCAGCCGCCGCGGUAAGAC